rnacentral:rRNA from 1 species
GAGGAAUAUUGGUCAAUGGGCGAGAGCCUGAACCAGCCAAGUCGCGUGAAGGAAGAAGGUUCUAUGGAUUGUAAACUUCUUUUGUAAGGGAAUAAAAAGAGUUACGUGUAACUUAUUGUAUGUACUUUACGAAUAAGGAUCGGCUAACUCCGUGCCAGCAGCCGCGGUAAUACGGAGGAUCCAAGCGUUAUCCGGAUUUAUUGGGUUUAAAGGGUGCGUAGGCGGGCCCUUAAGUCAGUGGUGAAAGUUUGCAGCUUAACUGUAAAAUUGCCAUUGAAACUGAGGGUCUUGAGUGUAAAUAAGGUAGGCGGAAUGUGUUGUGUAGCGGUGAAAUGCUUAGAUAUAACACAGAACACCAAUUGCGAAGGCAGCUUACUGGGAUACAACUGACGCUGAGGCACGAAAGCGUGGGGAUCAAAC